CCCCCCUCACCGGGCCGCCGUUAGUGACAAGGAGGGGCGGGUAUAGGAAAGAAGAGGUAUGCAGGCGCACACCUCUCUUGCAAGAAAGAGAGAGGAGAGGUGAGGAGAGGUAGAGGAGAUGGGAGGGCUAGGCAAGUGCAUGUGGAGGAGCUGCGAGGCUGCGAGCUGCGGGCGGGGACAAGGGCGAGCGUGAGGGUGGGCGACCGCGAUGACGGGCUGCGGGUGAGGGCGAGGGUGGGGCUGUGGGUUGUGGGCGAAGACAAGGACUGGGCUGCGGAUUGUGGGUGAAGCUGCGGGCUACGGGCGAAGGCGAGGGCAUGGCUGCGAGCUGUGGGCGAAGGCGAGGGCAGGGCUGCUAGCUGUGGGCGAAGGCAGGGCUGCGAGCUGUGGGCAAAGGCGACAAGGUUGCAAGUGGUGGGUGAAGGGGAGGGCAGGGCUGCGGGCUGUGGGCGAAGGCGAGGGCGAAGGCGAGGGCGAAGGCGAGGGCUGGGCUGGGAGCUACGGGCAAGGCUACGGGCUAGGCUGCGGGCUAUGGAUAAGGGCAGGGCUGCGAGCGACAAGGGUUUGGGCGGAGGCGGAGGCAGAAGAAUUUCCAUCUUAGAUAUUUUCAAGCCCCGGUCAUGUGAUGCUCAUACUUGUAAGAAGAAGUUGAAGAUAUGAUAAAUAAUGCCACGGAACACGUUUUUGGAGCCGCUCUGCCAUAGGAUGAGGAGUGUUGUGGAGUCAUAUGGUUGUAGAGUAGACAUGAUAUUUAUGUAGUCGCAAAAUAGGCUAGUAUGGUGUGAUUGAUAUGUUGGAUUUGAGUGUAGCAUGUUUGAUUAUUGGUUUUAUGUAUUGUUUGAUAAUGAAUAUUUUUACAUAUUAUUGAUAUAUUGAAAUACCUUACACUUUGAGUU